rnacentral:rRNA from 1 species
AACGAACGCUGGCGGCGUGGAUAAGACAUGCAAGUCGAACGGGACUAAAUCUGUAGCAAUACAGGUUUAGUUUAGUGGCGAACGGGUGCGUAACACGUGGGCAAUCUGCCGAGAAGUGGGGGAUAGCUCGCCGAAAGGCGAAUUAAUACCGCAUAUGAUCAGCUAAGACAUCUUAGCGACAUCAAAGCCGGGGUAACCUGGCGCUUCUUGAUGAGCCCGCGGCCAUCAGCUAGUUGGCGAGGUAACGGCUCACCAAGGCUAUGACGGGUAGCUGGUCUGAGAGGACGACCAGUCACACUGGAACUGAGACACGGU